ensembl:lncRNA
GUGCUGUACGGUGUACAUUUUAGGACAUCGUCAGGUAUCAGAAAAAAAAUUGUCAGGUGUCAGUUGUCAAAAAAAAAAUUGUCAGGUAUCAGAAAAAAAAUUGUCAGGUGUCAGUUGUCAAAAAAAAAAAGUCAGGUAUCAGACAAAAAAUUGUCAGGUGUCAGAAAAAAAGUUGUCAGGUAUCAGAAAAAAAAUUGUCAGGUGUCAGAAAAAAAGUUGUCAGGUGUCAGAAAAAAAGUUGUCAGGUGUCAGAAAAAAAAUUGUCAGGUGUCAGAAAAAAAGUUGUCAGGUGUCAGAAAAAAAUUGUCAGGUGUCAGAAAAAAAGUUGUCAGGUGUCAGAAAAAAAAUUGUCAGGUGUCAGAAAAAAAAUUGUCAGGUGUUAGAAAAAAAAUUGUCAGGUGUCAGAAAAAAAGUUGUCAGGUGUCAGAACACAAGGUACCAGAGAGAAAAUCUUCCUGCAGGUGGCGCUGUUGUCAUGUCCCACCCGAAUUGAUUUCCAAAUACGUCAUCAACGUGUGACCGUGGGAGAGCGUAAGGUCAUUGACCUCACCGGAGUUUUACCGUGGUUCAGGCUCCUAACGACACAAGGUAAGUUUAACUUUUUCUCCCUUUUGUUCAUAUUUUUGCC